AUAUAUAUUCUGGAUCAGCAUCACUAAGAGAGUCGAUCUAGCCAGUUCGUUGAUUGCAGCGCCAAAUACAAUGGUAAUAAAAUUUGACCAACUAAACAAAACCAAAACAACAUUCAACAAUCGGCCUGGCCAUACAGAUCGGCAUGGAUCGCUUCAUCCAAAACAAGUGUAAGUUGAAAUUCAACCAAAACUGAGUCAAGAGACCCAACCGAAACCAAAGCCCCCACCAAUUAACAUUAGGGAGAACAGCUCGAGUGCCAUGGUCAACAAAAUUGUUCGCAAAAAAACCUUUUUUCUGCAAAGAACGUUAGUUACAUCAUUAACAAGAACAGAGUCAGAAAGAAGAGUCUUGAAGAUACAUGAAGUGCAUCCUAUCCAUAACCUGCAAUACCUAUUGCACCAGAGAAUUACGUUGGAUGUGCCACAUAAAAGGAACUGCCAGGAGUAUGGACACACCAGGACAUACUGCACACUCCGAACAGUCUGUGUAGUUAAUUAAGAUUUAAAUACUUAUUGUCAGUCUCUUAAGCAACGAGAGAGGAUCAGAUAAAUAAAAAUAAAAUAUUACAGAAGAACAAAA